ACUCCUACGGGAGGCAGCAGUGGGGAAUCUUAGACAAUGGGGGAAAGCCCAUCGAUCUAGCCAUGCCGCGUGAGCGAUGAAGGCCUUAGGGUUGUAAAGCUCUUUCAGCUAGGGAAGAUAAUGACGGUGACCAGCAGAAGAAGCCCCGGCUAACUCCGUGCCAGCAGCCGCGGUAAUACGGAGGGGCUAGCGUUGUUCGGAAUUACUGGGCGUAAAGCGCACGUAGGCGGAUUGGUAAGUUGGGGGUGAAAUCCCGGGGCUCAACCCCGGAACUGCCUUCAAAACUCCCAGUCUUGAGGUCGAGAGAGGUGAGUGGAAUUCCGAGUGUAGAGGUGAAAUUCGUAGAUAUUCGG
rnacentral:rRNA from 1 species